rnacentral:rRNA from 1 species
UAGGGAAUCUUCCGCAAUGGGCGAAAGCCUGACGGAGCAACGCCGCGUGAGUGAAGAAGGAUUUCGGUUCGUAAAGCUCUGUUGUUAGGGAAGAAUGGAUAUGUAGUAACUAUACAUAUAAGAGACGGUACCUAACCAGAAAGCCACGGCUAACUACGUGCCAGCAGCCGCGGUAAUACGUAGGUGGCAAGCGUUGUCCGGAAUUAUUGGGCGUAAAGCGCGCGCAGGUGGUUUAAUAAGUCUGAUGUGAAAGCCCACGGCUCAACCGUGGAGGGUCAUUGGAAACUGUUAAACUUGAGUGCAGGAGAGAAAAGUGGAAUUCCUAGUGUAGCGGUGAAAUGCGUAGAGAUUAGGAGGAACACCAGUGGCGAAGGCGGCUUUUUGGCCUGUAACCGACACUGAGGCGCGAAAGCGUGGGGAGCAAACAGGAUUAGAUACCCUGGUAGUCCACGCCGUAAACGAUGAGUGCUAAGUGUUGGUCUCAUAAGAGAUCAGUGCUGCAGCUAACGCAUUAAGCACUCCGCCUGGGGAGUACGACCGCAAGGUUG